rnacentral:rRNA from 1 species
GACGAACGCUGGCGGCAUGCUUAACACAUGCAAGUCGAACGGUGAAGCUCCAGCUUGCUGGAGUGGAUCAGUGGCGAACGGGUGAGUAACACGUGAGCAACCUGCCCCUGACUCUGGAAUAAGCGCUGGAAACGGCGUCUAAUACUGGAUACGAGAAGGGUCCGCAUGGGCACUUUCUGGAAAGUUUUUCGGUUGGGGAUGGGCUCGCGGCCUAUCAGCUUGUUGGUGAGGUAAUGGCUCACCAAGGCGACGACGGGUAGCCGGCCUGAGAGGGCGACCGGCCACCGGGGGACUGAGAACCCGCCCGACCUCCGACGGGGGGAGGCGGGGGGGAUUUUUGCACAAGGGGCGAAGGCCGAAUGCAGCGCCGCCGGGGGGGGGAGGGCGGCUUUGGGUUUGUAACCCUUUUCCAGCAGGAAAGAAGGGAAAGGGAGGGUCCCGGAAAAAGAGCCCCCGCCAAACUCCGGC